UACGAAGGGGGGCUAGCGUUGUUCGGAAUUACUGGGCGUAAAGCGCACGUAGGCGGACAUUUAAGUCAGGGGUGAAAUCCCAGAGCUCAACUCUGGAACUGCCUUUGAUACUGGGUGUCUUGAGUAUGGAAGAGGUGAGUGGAAUUCCGAGUGUAGAGGUGAAAUUCGUAGAUAUUCGGAGGAACACCAGUGGCGAAGGCGGCUCACUGGUCCAUUACUGACGCUGAGGUGCGAA
rnacentral:rRNA from 1 species